rnacentral:rRNA from 1 species
CGCGGCCUAUCAGCUUGUUGGUGGGGUAAUGGCCUACCAAGGCGACGACGGGUAGCCGACCUGAGAGGGUGACCGGCCACACUGGGACUGAGACACGGCCCAGACUCCUACGGGAGGCAGCAGUGGGGAAUAUUGCACAAUGGGCGAAAGCCUGAUGCAGCGACGCCGCGUGAGGGACGACGGCCUUCGGGUUGUAAACCUCUUUCAGCAGGGACGAAGCGCAAGUGACGGUACCUGCAGAAGAAGCACCGGCUAACUACGUGCCAGCAGCCGCGGUAAUACGUAGGGUGCAAGCGUUGUCCGGAAUUACUGGGCGUAAAGAGUUCGUAGGCGGUUUGUCACGUCGUUUGUGAAAACUCACAGCUCAACUGUGAGCCUGCAGGCGAUACGGGCAGACUUGAGUACUGCAGGGGAGACUGGAAUUCCUGGUGUAGCGGUGAAAUGCGCAGAUAUCAGGAGGAACACCGGUGGCGAAGGCGGGUCUCUGGGCAGUAACUGACGCUGAGGAACGAAAGCGUGGGUAGCGAACAGGAUUAGAUACCCUGGUAGUCCACGCCGUAAACGGUGGGCGCUAGGUGUGGGUUCCUUCCACGGAAUCCGUGCCGUAGCUAACGCAUUAAGCGCCCCGC